CAAGAGUGGUGAUCGUGGUGAGACUGUAAGUAGCUGGGCUCCAGUUCUCUGUGUCUGGUCAGGCCAGGGACUCUCCAGGCCUCCUCAGAGGCCUGGGGAUGGGUGUCGGACUUCACCCAGGCAGGAGGAGGAAAGGAGAUCCUGCAAGAUGUCCGGGCCUUAAUCCAAAAAACUGAGUUAAAGCUCAGCCCCAAGUCCCCUCUCCCAGACAGGACCCCCUCUCCCGUGAGUUGGCCCCAGCUCCCGUGAAGAUUGCAGUGGGGAGGUUUCCCUGGGAGUUGGGAGAGAUGGCCACAGUGGGAAGCAGCUGAGGAGAGAGAGAUCUAGCUGAGGGGAGGCCUCAUCCUGCAGCCCCAGCCUCAGCCUCCCCUGGCCAAGAGCUCAUGCUUUCCUUGCUCUCCGCAGGGUCCUGCUGGUCCUGCCGGUCCUGUCGGCCCUGUUGGCGCCCGUGGCCCCGCUGGACCCCAAGGCCCCCGUGGUGACAAGGGUGAGACAGGCGAACAGGGCGACAGAGGCAUAAAGGGUCACCGUGGCUUCUCUGGCCUCCAGGGUCCCCCUGGCCCUCCUGUGAGUAUGCUCAGCCCCUCCCCAGUCCCCAUGCUGUGCUGUGUGAUAGGAGGGGGAGCUUAGCCUCAGUUUCUCCCUCUGGAUAGUCAUUCUUUCUCCUCCCUGGUGGGGACUGGAGUCUAAAGAUUUAUGGGCAUGUCCAAGUAGCUUCUGAGAGGGUGAGGGGUACACAGAGAGGGAUUAUGGGAGAGGUCUCUGCCUAUGGACACCCUCGGGCUAGAUUUCCAGAAUGACGAAGGGGCAUGGGUUGCCCACACUGCCCUUGUC
rnacentral:sRNA from 1 species